rnacentral:rRNA from 1 species
ACGAACGCUGGCGGCGUGCUUAACACAUGCAAGUCGAACGGUAAGGCCCUUUCGGGGGUACACGAGUGGCGAACGGGUGAGUAACACGUGGGUAAUCUGCCCUGCACUUCGGGAUAAGCCUGGGAAACCGGGUCUAAUACCGGAUAUGAGCUCCUGCCGCAUGGUGGGGGUUGGAAAGUUUUUCGGUGCAGGAUGAGUCCGCGGCCUAUCAGCUUGUUGGUGGGGUAAUGGCCUACCAAGGCGACGGCGGGUAGCCG